rnacentral:rRNA from 1 species
AUUGAACGCUGGCGGCAUGCUUUACACAUGCAAGUCGAACGGUAACAGGCCUUCGGGUGCUGACGAGUGGCGCACGGGUGAGUAAUGCAUCGGAACGUACCCAGAGGUGGGGGAUAACGCAGCGAAAGCUGUGCUAAUACCUCAUGUGAUCUGAGGAUGAAAGCGGGGGACCGCGCAGCAAUGUUUGGCCUCGCGCCUUUGGAGCGGCCGAUGUCGGAUUAGCUAGUUGGUGGGGUAAAGGCCUACCAAGGCGACGAUCCGUAGCUGGUCUGAGAGGACGACCAGCCACACUGGGACUGAGACACGGCCCAGACUCCUACGGGAGGCAGCAGUGGGGAAUUUUGGACAAUGGGCGCAAGCCUGAUCCAGCAAUGCCGCGUGAGGGAAGAAGGCCUUCGGGUUGUAAACCGCUUUUGGCAGGAACGAAACGGUGUCCGCUAAUACCGGGCGCUAAUGACGGUACCUGCAGAAUAAGCACCGGCUAACUACGUG